CUCAAAGAGAGGUUUCUUAUUUCAAAUGUUAGGUGGUAUAUGACGUAACUCACUAAAUAUAAAAUAUUUUAACAAAUUCACAUUAUUCAGUUAUAUAUUCAUGUGAAGGGAAGGACUAUAAAUGAAACAGUUAUGGAAAAGGGUCAUUGUUCAAUAAGAAUGGAAAGUGUUUAUAUUGGGAAUAGAAGAAAGCUUGUAAAACCAUUCAGUUGAUAAAAUUUUACUGUGAGUGACAACUAAAAAGAAACCCCAUUGGGGACUGGGGCCCUAACCCUUUCUUGCAAGAUUCGUUCCAAGAAACUAAGACUAGAACCAUCCGGUGAGGUUUCUGUAUAUUUGCUUUCUCUUUACUUCUUGACACGUAAGCUCCUCAUUUUUUUUGAAUAUUUAAUACGCUGUCCGUGGUUCUGGUGCAUGAUUUUUGUUAUCUUCUAGGGUGUGAUAAUAGGUGGGUUAUGUGAAAAUAUUACAACUACAGUGCCAGUGGAGUGGCCUCCACUCUACUCUUUCUUCAUCCUCUGCCUCUUAUUACAGUUUAUAGAGGUAAGGUUAGACCUCUUAUUACAGUUUACAGAGGCCAAAUUAGAAUUUGUACAUUUAGUAGCUAUUGUAAUUUUAUGAGUUUAUUAAUUUACUUCUAAUGUUUCCCAAAGCAAUUUCGUUGUGCAAUUAAUUGACAAUAUUGUGUAACAUGCAGUUUUAUUAAUAUGUUCUACCGUUGGUUUCUUUUUAAAUGAUGGAGUAGCAAAGAGCUAGAAUGUAAAUAUCAAAAUGAAUUAGGAAAACAUCUAGACUAAUUGUGUUGCAGAAUAAGGAGAAAUGAAAAAAGAUUUAGAUACUUAAGGAGAAACUAAUAAUUGUAAUUAGGA
rnacentral:lncRNA from 1 species